rnacentral:rRNA from 1 species
GAUGAACGCUAGCGGGAGGCUUAACACAUGCAAGUCGAGGGGCAGCACGAGGUAGCAAUACUUUGGUGGCGACCGGCGCACGGGUGAGUAACGCGUAUGCAACCUACCCUGUACAGGGGGAUAACCCGGAGAAAUUCGGACUAAUACCCCAUAAAGAUAUUUGGAGGCAUCUUUGAAUAUUUAAAGUUCCGGCGGUACGGGAUGGGCAUGCGUAACAUUAGCUAGUUGGUAAGGUAACGGCUUACCAAGGCAACGAUGUUUAGGGGUCCUGAGAGGGUGGUCCCCCACACUGGUACUGAGACACGGACCAGACUCCUACGGGAGGCAGCAGUGAGGAAUAUUGGUCAAUGGGCGCAAGCCUGAACCAGCCAUCCCGCGUGAAGGAAGAAUGCGCUAUGCGUUGUAAACUUCUUUUCCAGGGGAAUAAAAUUUUGUACGUGUACGGAAUUGAAGGUACCCUGGGAAUAAGCAUCGGCUAACUCCGUGCCAGCAGCCGCGGUAAAAC